rnacentral:rRNA from 2 species
CAGGCCUAACACAUGCAAGUCGAGCGCUGUAGCAAUACAGAGCGGCGCACGGGUGAGUAACACGUGGGAACGUGUCCAACGGUUCGGAAUAACUCAGGGAAACUUGAGCUAAUACCGGAUACGCCCUUUCGAGGGGAAAGAUUUAUCGCCGAUGGAGCGGCCCGCGUCCGAUUAGCUUGUUGGUGAGGUAAAAGCUCACCAAGGCAACGAUCGGUAGCUGGUUUGAGAGAACGAUCAGCCACACUGGGACUGAGACACGGCCCAGACUCC